GAUGAACGCUGGCGGCGUGCCUAAUACAUGCAAGUCGAGCGAACAGACGAGGAGCUUGCUCCUCUGACGUUAGCGGCGGACGGGUGAGUAACACGUGGAUAACCUACCUAUAAGACUGGGAUAACUUCGGGAAACCGGAGCUAAUACCGGAUAAUAUAUUGAACCGCAUGGUUCAAUAGUGAAAGACGGUUUUGCUGUCACUUAUAGAUGGAUCCGCGCCGCAUUAGCUAGUUGGUAAGGUAACGGCUUACCAAGGCAACGAUGCGUAGCCGACCUGAGAGGGUGAUCGGCCACAAUGGAACUGAGACACGGUCCAGAAUCCUACGGGAGGCAGCAGUAGGGAAUCUUCAGCAAUGGGCGAAAGAUUGACGGAGCAACGCCGCGUGAGUGAUGAAGGUCUUCGGAUCGUAAAACUCUGUUAUUAGGGAAGAACAAAUGUGUAAGUAACUAUGCACGUCUUGACGGUACCUAAUCAGAAAGCCACGGCUAACUACGUG
rnacentral:rRNA from 1 species